CUUGAAAUACCACCCUUUAAUGGCUGGUGUUCUAACGUGGGCCCGUAAUCCGGGUUGCGGACAGUGUCUGGUGGGUAGUUUGACUGGGGCGGUCUCCUCCUAAAGAGUAACGGAGGAGCACGAAGGUUGGCUAAUCCUGGUCGGACAUCAGGAGGUUAGUGCAAUGGCAUAAGCCAGCUUGACUGCGAGCGUGACGGCGCGAGCAGGUGCGAAAGCAGGUCAUAGUGAUCCGGUGGUUCUGAAUGGAAGGGCCAUCGCUCAACGGAUAAAAGGUACUCCGGGGAUAACAGGCUGAUACCGCCCAAGAGUUCAUAUCGACGGCGGUGUUUGGCACCUCGAUGUCGGCUCAUCACAUCCUGGGGCUGAAGUAGGUCCCAAGGGUAUGGCUGUUCGCCAUUUAAAGUGGUACGCGAGCUGGGUUUAGAACGUCGUGAGACAGUUCGGUCCCUAUCUGCCGUGGGCGCUGGAGAACUGAGGGGGGCUGCUCCUAGUACGAGAGGACCGGAGUGGACGCAUCACUGGUGUUCGGGUUGUCAUGCCAAUGGCACUGCCCGGUAGCUAAAUGCGGAAGAGAUAAGUGCUGAAAGCAUCUAAGCACGAAACUUGCCCCGA
rnacentral:rRNA from 1 species